UUUCUGUGUGGAUUAAUCCCACGCCGGAAUAAUUCUUGUUGCAUUUGACAUGGAUUUUCAUCGAAUGUUGCCACUAAUUUUGCACCUACGUAGUAUUUCAUUUAUCUCGGACUCUCCUUGCCUUUUAUAGUGAAAUCACCAAUUCUAUGGCAUUAAAACCAUUAGCGAAGCGCUGUUUUACUAACAGGGGCCUCUCCUCAAAUUUAGGCAAUCAUUGAAAGCAAACGCAUUUUUAAAGCAAACGACAAUGCUUCACUUCAAUGAUACUUAUUUGGCUCAUAUCGUUCUUCAACUUCAAUAGAGUCAUAAUAAAAAAAAGUUUUUCUUUUAGCUAAGUAUGCAGUAGUUACCACAAACUUUUCUUCUUUGCUCUGUAAAAAAUGCAUGGGAAUAUCCAUUAAGUAUCUCAUUAGAUGAAAAUAGGUCUUUACUUUUACUUAGGGAUGCAUAGUAAACUGGAAACUUUGAAGCCAUUUUUCUCGACCUUUAGGUUUUUUCAGCUAUGCCACCAUUGAAGUAAAUGAGCGGCAUCCGCUUGACGUAGCACAAACGUGACGCCCUUCUUCUCAAAUGGAAGUGAUGAUGAGUUGUUUCCUAAUGUCUGAGUUUACCGCGUAACGUUUCUUAACUUCAAUUUUUGGCACGCACUUAUGGUUGGUGUCAUCUAUUGCACUCAAUAUUUACAGAAUAAUCUAGCCGGCUUACCCUACGUAUACGUAAUCAAUGGCACGUGCAUUGCUCCGCGUCACGCAUACGCAGUGUACGCCGAAAUAAAGUUUCACAAGCAUAGCUUUUAUUGAAAUUUUCUGCUGCUUCAGCAACGAAAUUUUAUAACGUCAACGUGAAAAUGCAAAAAUUCGUAAAAUGUUGAAAUGUAAAUGAACUCAAAAGUUUAUUUAUAUACUCGAACAUUUGGUUCAGCGAAACAAAGAAUAAAAGAGAACAAAAACAUGCGACCGAGAGAAAAAGCGAGGGAGAGAGUGAGCGAGCGAGCGAGCGAGAGAAAACUCUGAAAAUAAGCUGCGGGAAAAGCGCCAAGUGCCAUACGAAAAAGCAUCAUGCCAAGUAGCUAUGCAUUGGCAACGCGCAAGAGAGGAGAGGCCAGCAAGUUAAUAGACAUUUUCCCAUACCUGUCAUGUCUUCUGUCUUCUCGAACGAAGAGUGGAACAUUAUUUGCGAAUGCUAAUGUAUUGCAGCUGUUCGAAGCCAGCACACAGAAGCUACUACAAGAAUUAUUUCUGUGAAAAAAUAAAAUAUUUUCAAAACAAAAAAGUCUGUGGUCUGUGAAUUGUUGAAAAUUUUAAAAAUUUUCCGCGAAGUGUGACUAAUUUUCGGUUGGUCUUGUUUGAGAAUUUGGUUGCGCUGAAAAAUUUGAUUAUUAGUUAACUUCGCAUAGGGUGUGUGAAUAUUUGUGAAUGUGCACCAGUUUUACAAGUUUCAGUUCUUGCUGAUAGUUCGUUUAAGGAAAACGUCAAACUCUGAUGAAUUUAGCAAGUUAAGGGAAAAAACGAUUGCCAAAAGCAGCAAAGUUCACAGAAGAUUGCAUAAAGUGUUUGCAAAAUUUACUCUGCAACGAUUUUUUAACAGCCAACAAAAGCAUAUUCUUGUUUAGGUGUGCGUUUUGCGUCUGCGUAUGUGUGUGUGCGCACGUAGGGCCAACUGAAAGAUGUGCUGCAAUGCGCUGCACUUAGUUUCCGGUGCUGCACUGUACCAGCAAAGGCAACAGCAAUAGCAGCUGCAGCAGCAGUAGCAGUAGUAGUGGCAGUGGCACAUAGCAAUUUCGUCGGCGCGUGCCAGAAAAUUCAGCAACAUAAAAAAAGACACCUCGGUGAAUAAACGCCGCAAAGCAAAGCAACGCAACGCAGCGGAAACCUAACACAAAAUCAAUAGUCGCAGUAACUACCAAGUGGCAGCAGUGUUAGUGGCAAAAUUACGUUCUGAGUUUGUGUUCUAACUGGCUUUUGACUGCAAGGCAGGAAAACUCGCGAAAAUUCUGAAGCGCUGCUGUGGUGGUAUUAGUGAAAUUUUUAUAAAAUUAAGAAAAUGUGAUAAGAAGCGAAAGAAAAGAGCGUUUAAAUGAAAAACCAAGUUCACAAAAAUGUGAAAUAAUUUAAAAUAUGGUUUCGGUUUAGAGGAAAUUGUGCAAAAGUUAAAAAUGAAAAUGGUUGAAAUUUUCAAGAAACCAAAAAUUAAAAAAUAAAUAAAAGAAAAACAGUGCGCGUGGUAUAACUUUCGGACUUGAAGGUGCAAAAAUAUUCAAAACAAAACUUCACUUUUCAACAGUACUUUGCUAAAACCGAUAAAUAAUUACUAGAUGCUUAACUUAGUACAGUAGAGUCCGGGUAGAGUGAACUAAACUUGUUCCCUCUUAAGAUUGUUGAUAGAACGCAAAUCAGGAAUUGGGAGUUUCUUUAACUUAAUCCACUCAAUUCAAAUAUUUGUAUAAUUUGAAAUUUGUUUCCCCCAAAAAGUGUUUUAUAUUUCUUCGUAUCUUUUUUGUUUAAGACACCUCUUUCCAGCAGUCGCUGUAGCCGAAUGGGUUGGUGGGUGACUACUAUAUUAUUUGUAAGUGUGUAGGUUCGAAUCUCCGCUCAUGAAACACCAAAUGGUAGAAGAAGCCAAAUAAGGGGUGCAGCCAAAUUUUAAUUUUUCUUCCACAAAAAAAGUAAAAAAUAAAAAAAGUUUAAAACGUUGAAUAAAAAAAUAAGAAACACACAUGAGAGGUGUUCUUCAAAAAAAAAAAAAAAAAAAAAAAAAUCUUGUAUUUGAAUAACUUUUUUACCAAUAUUUACUAAAUUAAAAAAAGUUAAAAAAAAAUUGUUGAAAAAAAUGUCAAAAAGAAAAUUACAACAUUUUUAAAACAAUUUGCACAAAAUCAAUCAUCAUUAAAAAAACUUUUAUUUGAAUAACUUUUUUACCAAUAUUUAAAAAAUUACAAAAAAGUUAAAAAAAUUGUUGCAAAAAAAUGUUGAAAAGAAAAUUAUAACAAUUUUAAAACAAUAUGCACAAAAUCAAUCAUCAUUAAAAAAAUCUUGUAUUUGAAUAACUUUUUUACCAAUAUUUAAAAAAUUAAAAAAAAGUUAAAAAAAAACUUUUUGGAAAAAAAUGUUGAAAGGAAAAUUAUAAAAAAUUUGAAACAUUUUGCGCAAAAUUAGUCAUCAUUAAUAAAUUUUGUAUUUGAAUAACUUUUUUACUAAAUAAAAAAAUUAUUUUGAUGAUGUAAUCUUUAUUUUGAUCUUUUCGCGCUCCAUUGCAUGUCUGUUUUCUCAGAAGUCUAUCUAUUUCACAAGUGUUAAUUAUGAUUGACGCACGACGCUAAAAUUAUAAAUCUUCCGAUCUCUCUCUCUCUCUUUUUGCCUUGUCCCUAUUUUGUUUUAUGUAUAUUUUAUUAAUUAUUUCUUUAAGAUUUUUCAAGUUUCGCCUUACUUAAAAAAUCUGGAUUAAAACUGGUAUCCAGGCCGCUUUAAGGCUUUUCUGAAACUCCGUGACUGAAUUAUCUUUAUGUAUAAACAUAAAUGUGUCAUUCGGUACCAUUUUGUAGUCUAAUGAUGAGUUCCCCUCUUUAAUUUCCGCUAUUAACCUUUCCAUUUUGCUGUCUUUAACGAGCUGUAUCCUUACUGCUGAUCACGGACCGUAUCAUAGCUGAGUCAAGAUGGUUCCUUCACACGUUGUACAAUACAGUUACUGUUAAAUUUUUCAUGAGAUCUUCUCCGUAUAAAUGUAUUGGUAUUGUCUUGAAAAAUUUGUGUGGAUGACUCAUGUGAGAGUGAAACCUACCAUACGAUUUUAAUAAAAAAAAUUAUUUUAAUUUUUAAUGGUUUCAGGCUUCAGCAUUUUGAAAGGACGACAGCAUUUCAAAUGAAACUCCGCAAGUCUGGUCGCAGCGUUACUUCCGGCUGCUUUACCACAUCAUCUUCUUAAGUUUUUAGAAUAAUCUGCCUAUGUUUUCGACGGUUUUCUUAGUUAUGUAGGUUAGGUUAGGUUAGGUUAGGUUAUGGUGGUGCAGGUCCGUUAUGGCACCACUGUGUAACAGAGGAACCUCAGUGUUUAUUCAUCAUGGAACCAUUUAGGCGCUCUUAUGAAGCGUAGGAUAGGUUUUAUCACAACACUGGAUAGUUCCGUAAGAGAGUCAAAAUAGUGUUUUCCUAAUAACCUUACAUUACUGUUAGCUAAAACUGGACAAUUACAACGGAAGUGUUGUACUGUUUCUUCUUCUUCCUCGUCUCUACAACUUCUGCAGUAUUCAUGAGAGCUAUUCGCUUUUGAGAGGUUGAGCAAUUCUCCUGACCUUUUUUUUUGCGACCAAAUGAGACUGGUUGUAACACAAGUAUAUUAUUUAUCUGAAAAAAAAAAUAUUUUGUGUUUUUGGUUUACUUAUUUUAUUCAGCUUUAAAUUGUUCUCCAGCUCUCAGUUGUUUUUAAAUAAUUGAAACACUGGCCUACUAUUUCACGCUGGGAAUAUUUACGGCAAUUUAACAUCGUAAAAAUCUCCGCUGGUUUCGUUUUUGUAAGGCCUGCCAACUUUCCGAUAUUUUUUGGGCUAAAAUUGUUUUCAAUCAAACAAAGUGUUAGUGUGAAAAACUCAAAGCAAAUAAAACAUAGGCAUAGAAGAGAAAAGUAAAAUUAUAAUCAAAAUAUAUUUUUACUUUUAAUAAUUUUGCAUUUCCAAAAAAAAAAAACAGUAUGUUUUUGCAGUCAAAUAAACUGUUCACACAAGCAAAGCAAAAUAAAUAAAAAGUAAGAAAAAUAAUAAAGCGAUAAAACAGCAAAAUGAUAGAAAAAGUUUUUUUAAUAGUGGUAGCCCCUUCGCGAGCAAUAGCAAACACCCGAGUGUAUUUCUGCCAUGAAAAAGCUUUAUGAGGAGUUUAGGAGGAGAAUAAAAAUAUAUCUGCCUUUCGGAUACGGCUUUAAACUGUGGGUCCCUCCAUUUGUGGAACAACAUAAAGACGCACGCCACAAAUGGGAGGAGCUCGGCCAAACACCUAACAGAAGUGCAAGCGCCAAUUAUUUAUUUAUUUUUUUAAUGCAAUAUUUUCAUUUAAAAAAAAAAUUUUAUUUAUUUAUUUGUUUAUAUAAAUAGUACAUAGUAAGACUAAGGUCUUUUAAUAGUACUUCAACAAUAUUAUAAGCAACUGGAAUAUUUUUAACAUACAAGUUUCUUAAUCUAAAUUUUACACCAGUUCAUUUACGAAUUAAUCCAAUAUAUUUAACUUAACUAUAAUAAUAAGAAGAAAAGAAGCAAUAGGAAAAGAAAAGAAGGAUUUAGAGAAGAAAGAACAAAAGUAGUAAUUAGAGAAUUUAGAGAGAAGUUUAAUGCCCUAAUUUAAUGCAAUCAAACACUUUUAAAGUAAUUAUAGACUUGUGCCUUGAAGUUAAAUCUAUUAAGUCCAGCCUUCACAGUGUCGGGUAAUGAGUUCCACACUUUAACAGCGUUAAUGAAAAAUAAUCUAGAUGAUGGUAGGUAAUUAAAUUUUGGAACGAUGAAAUUGUUGUGUCUGCGAGACCUUACUGGUAUCAACUUCUCUGUCAGAUAAGCCGGAGACUUGAAUAAUGCAAAGCAAAACUAAAAAAGUGAAACAAAAAAAUAUUAAAGGCGAUUAGCUGCUGAUUAAAGAUUUGUGUUAAGUUUUAAAACAAAUUACAAAAAAAUCAGAAAAUUGAAAAAUAAUAAAAAUAAAGUGAAAUUUGAUAUACUUCUAUUAAAAUAAAAUUUCAAGAGAGAAAAAUAAAGUGAAAAAAUUGCAAGCCAAUUUCACCUGUAAUUUUAAAAUGCUUACUAUUUAAUCUGCUAUUUAUUGCUGAAGCACAAAAAAGUUACUAAGUGUAUUCAAAAAAUUGUAAUCCGCGCGAAUUACUGCAAAGUAAUUAAAAAAAAAUAAAAAAGAGAAGGAGUGGGAAAUUUAAAUUUCCACGUUCAUUAAUUGUUCUUACUUUUGCCGUGCAGCUUAAUUAACUAACGCGGAUUGACGCGUGUCAAGUCGAGUGCAACGCUUUUCUCCCCCUCGCGCGCUCGGGUUGGUAAAAAAAAAACAAAAAUAAAAUACAAAGUAAAGAAGUAUUUUUACGCCGCCUGCUUAAAAUAAAAAGCAGCAACAGCAAAAC